rnacentral:rRNA from 1 species
GACGAACGCUGGCGGCGUGCUUAACACAUGCAAGUCGAACGGAAAUGCCCUUCUUUUGUGGGGUGCUCGAGUGGCGAACGGGUGAGUAACACGUGAGUAACCUGCCCUUGACUUUGGGAUAACUUCAGGAAACUGGGGCUAAUACCGGAUAGGAGCUCCUGCUGCAUGGUGGGGGUUGGAAAGUUUCGGCGGCUGGGGAUGGACUCGCGGCUUAUCAGCUUGUUGGUGGGGUAGUGGCUUACCAAGGCUUUGACGGGUAGCCGGCCUGAGAGGGUGACCGGCCACAUUGGGACUGAGAUACGGCCCAGACCCCUACGGGAGGCAGCGGUGGGGAAUAUUGCACAAUGGGCGGAAGCCUGAUGCAGCAACGCCGCGUCCGGGAUGACGGCCUUCGGGUUGUAAACCUCUUUCGCCUGUGACGAAGCGUGAGUGACGGUAAUGGGUAAAGAAGCACCGGCUAACUACGUG